AAAGCAUCAGUCUCUUCUAAAACAGUAGAAACACACGAGAGAGCAAACUGAGGCGGCUGAGAGCAAAAUCAAAGACACACGAUGAGGGUUUUCAAGAACAAGAGCAAAAAUCAGUAGCCAACGUGAAUCUAAGGGUGCUUUCACCGCUUUUGAUGAUAUGUUAAGCUCUGUUUCUUCUUAAUUAACAUUGUCAUUGCUUGUACGGAUAGCUAAAUCAAGUUCAGGCUGUUGAAAAGGGUCGAGACCCAACACCAAGUGAGAUACAUUUGUACGUCCAUACACAUGGGCAUGAUGGAAAAUCUUUUCUUGAUGAGAAAGUUCGAAUCGUGCAUGAAAGGUAUCAGAAAAUAUUGCAGGAACAAACACAAACUCAAUAUGAUAUUGAUCAAUGUAAAGCAUAUUAUGAAGCCGCGAGAGGGGAAAGAAGAGAAGAGUAUAUGGUCUUGGAUCUCAAGCAAAAUGCUACUAUAGACCGAAUCUUGAACUUUAUUGUUGGUGUUAGGGAUAAUUCGAACCUUUUUUGGCUUGAACUUUAUUAUUGGUGUUAGGGAUAAUUUGAUCAUAAUUGUAUUAGCUAUAUGGAUUUUGAUAUCAUUAUUGAC